GCCGCCGUAGCUCAGCGGUAGAGGGGUUAACUUACCAGCCACAGGUCCGGGGUUCGAAUCCCCGCGGCGGCUCCA
rnacentral:tRNA from 1 species